CAAGCGUGGACUGUGCCAAGCAGAGCUCAAUCUCAAUGUGAAAUUGAAGCUUACUCCCACCGUCUGCGCCUGAACUCAUGAGUCAUGACCAAUAGGAAAAUGAAAAGUUUGGGUCAAAGUCAAAAACACUUCUUUUAAUGGACCCCACAACCAAAAAGCUCUACACCGUCCUUUGCCACCCAAUCCCUCCCACACCUUAUAACAAAGGACGUUAAAUAGCUUAUGAAAUGAAGAUGCCAAAGAACCCCAAAGCCAAUCUUUUUCUGCUCCAUUCUUUUUGCCAAGGAGGAGAAUAUAGCUGAAAGAAUCAUCCUAUAUAGUUGGGGGGAAGAAAGAGGUUCAUUAAACAAGUUAUUGUUCUUGAAACAUCAAGAAUGAGACACUUUUGCUUAUGUCUAUUAGUUUUGAUGGCGCUAGUGUUCUUCUCACAGUCCAACGUUGUUGUUGUUCAAGUUGAAUGUAGAGCUCUUCGUUCCAAAGUUUCUGGUAAUGGGCAUAGAUUGAUCGGAUCAAAACCUUCAUUUUCAAGCUCUGCAACUGCAAGGAAGAAGAGGGACAAGGUUUUUGUAAGGUAUCAAAUGUCUACGUUGGCUUCUGGACCAAGUAGGAAGGGCUCUGGCCACUAGCUUAAUUCCAUACUUCUAAAACAUUUUUAAUGGCUUCCUUCAAUCAUCAUGUAAUUCUUCUUUAUUUAUAUCAUCAGCUGUGGAUGUUUGUAGCCUAAACAUAUGUAUAUUUGCAAUGGAUUAUUAUGAAAUUCAAGAAACGAAACACACUUCUUAG
rnacentral:lncRNA from 1 species